rnacentral:rRNA from 1 species
GAUGAACGCUGACAGAAUGCUUAACACAUGCAAGUCAACUGUGGCGGACGGGUGAGUAACGCGUAAAGCACUUGCCUCACAGUCAGGGACAACCUUUGGAAACGAAUGCUAAUAUCUGAUACUGUGAGAGAGCUUUGCGUCCCAUUAGCUAGCUGGAGAGGUAACGGUUCACCAAGGCGAUGAUGGGUAGCCGGCCUGAGAGGGUGCUCGGCCACAAGAGGACUGAGACACAGGCCUUGCUCCUACUGGGGGGAGCAGUGGGCAAGAUUGGUCACUGGACCAAUGUCUGAUCCAGCAAUUCUGUGUGCACAAGGAUGUUUUCAGGAUGUAAAGUGCUUGCAGAUGGGAAGCGGUAGCAACAGAAUAAGUGUCGGCUAAAUACGUGCCAGCAGCCGCGGUAAUAC